UACUUCCACGUUCCUGCUUGAGCUCCUGCCCUGACUUCCCUGGAUGACGGACUGUAGACUCCCUCCCCCAAGUUGUUUUUGGUUAGUGUGUCGUCACAGCCACAGAAACCUAACUAGGACAUGCAGCCCUUCAUCAGUUUGUUAACCGUCACAGCCUUUAUUGGUUCAUCCGACCGAGGUCCACGGAGUCCCCUGUUGAGGUCCAGGUCCUGACUUACUGGAGUGAAGAUGAAAUCUACUGGGGUAAUGAUAUCCCAGAAGGAGGAGAACUGUAAGAGAAGGGGACAGGGAAGAGGGGAGAAGAGAGAGAGAAGACAGGCGAGACAUGUGAAUGUGAGCAAAGUGUGUUACCUGCACACUUGGAAAUGUCGCAAUGAGCCCGUUCCUCUGUGCAGCUAAACACAUUGAAAAUGUUUAAACAAUAAUUGCGUGUCCUGCUGAUGCUGAAGACAGCAGUCGGGAAACCAUGGAGAAAUUAAGCAGUUUGUUUGUAACUGGAAGAGCUCAAAUCAAGCACUAUUAGAAGAGAAGCAUAACUGAGCCUUUGGAAACACAGAGAACACCAAGUCCAUGGGUUCUGGGAAGAAGUCAAAACUCCAUGCGCUCCUUCAGGAAGUGUGUGGCACCUUCCAUACCCUCUGUGGCUACCUCUUGAUAAACGUGCUUUCCAUGCCUUUA